rnacentral:lncRNA from 1 species
GACACUCUGAGUAGGUAACAGGUACCAGCUACUGUCAGCAGGGAGGAAGGUAUGUGGUGACCACGAGUCCAGACCUGAGGGUCCUGACCCUCUAAUGCGGCCUCUCACCAGUGUUCGCAGAAACCCACCCGCUGAUUCAAUACGGGGACCAGGAACCUGCCAUGACAGUCACGGCUUCCCUCUUGUCUGGAGGAAAAAGAAAAAAGAGAACCAGACUUAGACACAACUUCUUGUGGGCACAUAUUCAGAAGGCAUCUCACUGGAGAGGGUUUAGUUCUCCUUAGCAGAAGAUAAGAUUUCAAGAUUUCAGCUAAGACUCAUCUCUCUGCAAAUCUUUCUUUUGAGAGCAUCUUCACCAGGAGGAGAUUCCAUCUCAAGAGACCACUUUCACUGCUCAUAUGUAAGAAGCAACUCUUCAUCUGUUCAAGUUUGAUCAUGAGAGUGCGGCAAUUCAGUCACAACUUCAGGCUCCACUUCUAGUUCUAGUUCUCUUGCUGUUUCCACCACAUCUACAGCGACUUCCUCCACUGAAGACGUGAACCCCUGAAAGUCAUCUAUGGGGGUUGGAAUCAAUGUCUUUCACACUCCUGUUAAUGUUGGUAUUUUGACCUCCUCCCAUGAAUUACAAAUGUUCCUAAUGGCAUCUAGAAUAAUGACUACUUUCCAGAAGCUUUUCAAUUUGCUUUGCUCAGAUCCAUCAAUGGAAUCACUAUCAAUGGUAGCUAUAUAAACUAUAUAAGGCUAUAUAUAUAUAUAUAGCUAUUUCUUAAUAGCCUUAUGAAAUAUAUUUCUUAAUAAGACUUGAAAGUCUUGGUCCAUGGACUGCAGAAUGGAUGUUUGUGUUAGCAGGGAUGAAAACAACAUGAAUAUUCUCGUACAUCUCCAACACAGCUCUUGAUCGACAUGGUGCAGAGCAGUAAUAUUUUGAAAGGAAUCUUUUUUUCUGAGCAAUAGUUCUCAAUAGUGGGCUUGAAAUAUUCAGUAAACCAUGCUGUAAACA